ACGGAAGGCAGCAGUGGGGAAUAUUGGGCAAUGGGCGAAAGCCUGACCCAGCAACGCCGCGUGAAGGAAGAAGGUCUUCGGAUUGUAAACUUCUUUUAUGAGGGACGAAGGACGUGACGGUACCUCAUGAAUAAGCCACGGCUAACUACGUGCCAGCAGCCGCGGUAAUACGUAGGUGGCGAGCGUUAUCCGGAUUUACUGGGUGUAAAGGGCGCGUAGGCGGGAUGACAAGUCAGAUGUGAAAUCUAUGGGCUUAACCCAUAAACUGCAUUUGAAACUGCCAUUCUUGAGUGCUGGAGAGGUAGACGGAAUUCCUUGUGUAGCGGUGAAAUGCGUAGAUAUAAGGAAGAACACCAGUGGCGAAGGCGGCCUACUGGACAGUAACUGACGCUGAGGCGCGAAAGCGUGGGGAGCAAACAGGAUUAGAUACCCUGGUA
rnacentral:rRNA from 1 species